GAUGAAGAACGUAGCGAAAUGCGAUACGUAAUGUGAAUUGCAAAUUCAGUGAAUCAUCGAGUCUUUGAACGCACAUUGCGCCCCCUGGUAUUCCGGGGGGCAUGCCUGUCCGAGCGUCAUUGCUGCCCUCAAGCACGGCUUGUGUGUUGGGCCCCGUCCUCCGAUUCCGGGGGACGGGCCCGAAAGGCAGCGGCGGCACCGCGUCCGGUCCUCGAGCGUAUGGGGCUUUGUCACCCGCUCUGUAGGCCCGGCCGGCGCUUGCCGAUCAACCCAAAUUUUUAUCCAGGUUGACCUCGGAUCAGGUAGGGAUACCCGCUGAACUCAAGCAUAUCAAUAAGCGGAGGA
rnacentral:misc_RNA from 1 species